rnacentral:lncRNA from 1 species
GGUACUCAGGUGCUCUGUUACACCCACUACAGUAGGGCCCCCAGUGAUCAAGGCACAUAUAUUUAAACUUGGGAUAUUUUUCUGGUGUUAUCCAGGUUAAUCACACGCUCUUCUGGGUGACGAAAGGACGGGGCUCAAACAGAGCACACCUGCUGAGCAGAGUUUACAUCUGGUCCUUGAAAAUAUUACUUCAGAAACCAUUAGUUGGGAAGGUCUCAACUGAAGGAGGCCCCCGGGUAAUGAUUGUAAUAGAUGCCCCACUCUUACCUUUCCUUUGCCUGCAUUCCCAUUCUUUCACCAACCUAGAGCUCCAAUUUAUACCUCCCUUUCCCGUUAGUACAUAAUCCUCACGGCCUGAAAUUUACACCUACAUUCCAGACUCCACAUGACAGCUACAUUCAUAACACCACCCAUGAAAAGGCUUUUAUGAUCUUGAAUUUUGUACUUCUCAACAUUUUUUCCCCACUACUUUCAAAAUAUGCAUUCUUAAUAUUCCAACAAAGGGAAGCAGAUUAAAAGGAGAAAUACUAUAAAAUAAUUUGGUGAAGACCUAAUAAAAGAUGCAAUCAAUCAAGCAAGUGACAGUAGCAGUUCCUUUUAACAUCAAAUCUAAUGGUUUCUUUUUCUAGUACAAAAGUGCUCCAUUAACAGUGUGAGUCUUUUAUUUAGGUAAUUCACACAAGUGGUUGCCAGAUGUAGUUUAUUUUCAGGAGGGCACACUUAUAGAAGCAGCACACUGAGCGGAGACAGAGUUAUCUCCAACUAACCUACUCUCUAAUGACCUUUCAGAGUGAAAAUCUCAGUGAAAUCCUAAAACCGAAACCCUCAGAAUCAGAUCCAAGUAGCACUUCACAUUUAAAAUGAUGGUUGUAUGUCAGGGCUGGUCUACAGAGAAUGGUAGGGUGAUUCUUCGCCUCACCAUCUAUCCUCAAUGCACAGCCUUGAUUUAUCAGAGCUUCCCCUGCCCUGUGCAGCCAGGUCUGCCUCUAGCUUCAGCUCUGUUUUGACUCCCUUGCUUCAAUCAAAACUCACCUUUUUGAACCUUCUUUUCCUCAAAUGCUUCGUUUCUACUAGGUACUUCAAUCAACUACUGUUCACUAAAUGUAUUCCCUUUGUAGAUUAAUCCCUUGUGAGUCGCUUAAUUUGCAAAUAUUUUCGCCCAUUCUGUGGGUUGUCUUUUCAUUUUGUUUAUGUUUUCCUUUGCUGUGCAAAAACUUUGAAGUUUAGUUAGGUUCUGGUUUUUAUUUUUGUUUCUUUUUUCAUUACUCUAGGAGGUGGAUCUGAGAAGAUAUUGCUGUGGUUUAUGUCAUAAAGUAUUCAGCCUAUGUUUUCCUCUAAGAGUUUUAUAGUAUCUGGUCUUAUAUUUAGGUUUUUAAUCCAUUUUGAGUUUGUUCUUGUGUAUGGUGUUAGAGGUGUUGUAAUUUCAUUCUUCUACAUGUAGCUUUCCAGUUUUCCCGGCACUACUUAUUGAAGAGACUAUCUUUUCCCAAUUGUAUAUUGUUGCUCCUUUGUCAUAGAUUAGUUGACUGUAGGUGGCUCCUGCAGCUCAAUAUAUAUAUAUAUAUAUAAAACACAACUCAAUCAAAAAAUAGGCAGAGGUCUAAAUAGACAUUUCUCCAAAGAUAUACAAAUGGCCAAAAAACAUAUGAAAAAAUGCUCAACAUCACUAAUUACUAGAGAAAUGCUAAUCAAAACUACUGUGAGCUACUACCUUACACCAGCCAGAAUGGCCAUCCUCAAAAAGUCUACAAACAAGAAAUGCCAGAGAGGAUGUGAAGAAAAGGGAACACUCUUACACUAUUGGAGGGAAUGUAAAUUGAUGUAACCAUUGUGGAAAACACUGUGUAGUUUCCUCAAAAAAACUAAAUAAUAAAACUACCCUAUGAUCCAGCAAUCUCACUCCUGGGCAGAGAAAAUCACAAUUCAAAGGAUACAUGCUCCUAAUGUUCAUUGCAACACUAUUUACAAUAACCAAAACAUGGAAGCAACUUAAUUGUCCUUUGACAGAGGAAUGUAUAAAGAUGAGGUAAGUAUAUACAGUGAAGUAUUACUUAACCAUGAAGCACAAACUGUUUUCUCAAGACUUCCUUAAACAUCUAACUGUAAGAGCUGCCAUUGACAGAUUAUAUUUGAAUUGAGGCUUGAUAAAAACCUUCGUUAGCAUUUCUACUUCUUCCCACAUUUAGUUUUUCUGGCUUUUCUCCCUUUUUUUCCUGCCACUUUUUCUCACUCCCCAUUAAAUCUCCUAUCUUGGAUAGGUCAAGCUAUGAAUAGAAUUUACUUUACAUAUGGCUUGCUAGACCGUUGCAUCUUUGAGGGAUUCAAUCAACCACUUCGUUAGCAUAAAGGCAAGGAGAAGAAUACUUAAGACAGAUGAGUGGGAUAUAUUAUGGGAAGAAUGGGGAAGGAAUGUUUUCUAAACAGUCAACAAUUGUAGGAUGAGGGAAAGAUGUUGGGCUGAAAAUAAGCAGAAUGAAGAAAAGAAGAGUAGAGCCAUGUGGCUUGUCCAGUAGGGAAUAAUAAGAAUAAAGGCUAAUAUUUGCUGAGUUAUCACCAUGUUGAAGGGACUGUGCUAAGUGCUUUACUGAAGACUUAAGAAGAUGAUAACUUAAUAAUCUGACAAAGAGAGGAAAUUGAAGCCCAGAAAAUUUAAUUUUAUUACCCCAAAUCACACAAUUAGGAAGUGGCAUUGCCAACAUAUGUAUUCAAGGUACUUGACUACAAAGCCAAGGCUGUUUGCCACUAUAGUCUUUAUAGGACCUAAAAAUAUGAGUUUAGACAGAAAUGAGGUAUGAAUUCUACAUGAUAUUCACUUGAAUGUGACAGAUAGGCACUGAGCAAAUCAAAAGGAACCUAAAUUGUGUUAGAUCGGGCAGGAUAUUCCUUUUUCUUUACUAAAGAAGCCUUUUUUAGGUGGGUGGUGGGGAUGGGAAAGGUGGCCUUGUCUGCUACUUACAUCAGAAUAAAAGGGAACAUAGAAUAUUAGACAUUGACAUCCAUAAGUUUUAUGAGGUUAGUCAUGGGUAGCAUGGAAAAAAUAAGGUAAAAUGCACACUAAAGUGAGAAAUAAAAUCUGUGUGCCUGUGCCUGUGCAUGUGUGUGUGUUUGCUGAAGUUUUUUUGGAUGACUCACUGAGAAGACAGGUUAAUGCAUUCACUGAAUUUUUCAGUUGUUUAAAGAAUAAUCUACUUUCGUGCCUUAUGCCAGACUAAAAGGUCUUCCUAAACAGUCACACAGAAAAAUAAAAUACACCAAACUGUGUUGUCCUUGAACCUCUCUUCAUACACUUGCUUAAAAUUAAUAUACUUAAACAGAAUAACCCACCUAUCUGUGGCACCCAGUGGCUUAGAACUAUACAUAAUACAUAUUAAUAAACUAGGAGAAUGUGGUUCCUGCCACACUCAUUUUGUUUUCCUUCUCCUGACGGUGCUCUUGCUGUCAGAGACUUCUCCUCAGAUAAUGAAAGGCAACACAAGACACACACAUUCAUUCCUUCCUCCCUUCAAUCCUCUGUCCUGUCAUCUCUGAGCAACAGAACCUUCCAUUAGUGUUCACUUUAACAAGCCAAUUUCUUUGGGUUUAUUAGUGACAACUUUUAAAUUAGUGGGGAUCCAUGCCAGUUUUUCAAAGCAGGGUAUCUACAUGUUGCUCUCUCACAAUUAUGUUUUAAUUAGCAAGGUCACUGCUAAUUUUAAGAGAAUGCAGCAGGGCCCUUUUCCUCUCCCUCCCUAUUUUGGUAACAUAUGGUUGGUAAUGGAAAGAUAGAUAUGCUAUAACAGGAUGUGCCUAGACAAUGUCAAUAAGAUCAACAAGGGAGCUUGUCUCUGUGCAGAUGCUGGUUUGAUCCCCGACCCAGGGCAGUGGAUUAAGGAUCCAGCAUUGCUGGAGCUGUGGCGCCCAUAGGUCACACUUUUUUAUAAUUUAUGUUUUUGUUUUCAUCCCAUUUAAAUAGGUUAGAGCUGUUCAGAAACACGAAAUGAGUUUGGGCAAAAGUCACAGGGAGAAAAACCCAGUUUGUUUACGGAAAAUAAUCCAUUUUCAACUGGGAACUCAAAGUGAGGGUGAGUCAAAUCAAGGCUGUUUGCUGGAGCAGUGCUGGCCAUUUACAUCUUUUCUGCAGAGUAGAGGGUGGUUAGUGGGAAUGCUGAGAUUUGCUCUUGUUUUUUUCCUUCCAGUUACUCUGGACCACUUGACCGUCAAUAUCAUUAUACCACACAUGCUAUCAUCGGUGAACUUUCCAAAUCUCUUUGUCUACAUGUCCAUAUCAUGUGGAAAAGACUUGAAUUAGAUUCUCAGAUUGGGCUAUGGGGAGAGUAUAUAUCAUUAUAACCCCCUUUCUGAAAGCUCGGCUCUAACUAGUAAGGGCAGGCCAGCUGCUCAAACAAAUAAGAGCAAAAACAUAAACAUUCAAAAGACAUUUAUUUCUCUCUCCUAUAACUAGUCCAGACAGGUGUUCCCAAUUUCAUGCUUCUUUCAUCCCAUAAAGCUAACUUCAUGUGUAACUCCUAAUUAUGAAAGAUAAACUACAUUAAGAAAAAACUUUUCCAGUCCAAUAUGAUAUAUACUCUUCUUUGUAAGUCACAAAACUCUUUGUGAUAAGAUGUUUGAGGUUCAUUGGUGUGUUAUUGUGGUGUUUAAAAAAAAAACCAAAAAACUGAAGCCUUGGUUUGACUUGGAGACCAUCACUGUGGGCUUCUGUGAAACAACAGUAGCAGAUGGUAUGGUCUGGAAUCCAGUUCUUGGAAAUGUGCCUUUUAGAACUGGAAGGGCCCACAGAUCUUCUAGCCUUGGAGGAACAGACAAUGACUAAGUGUUACUAAAAAAAAAAACAAGUUUGUGACUACAAGUUAAAGAGUCAUUCUGGGAGUUCCCUAUGUGGCUUAGCAAUAACAAACCCAACUAGUAUCCAUGAGGAAGAGGGUUAGAUCCUUGGCCUCGCUCAGUGGGUCAGGGAUCCGGCGUUGCUGUGAGCUGUAGUGUAGGUUGCAGACGCUGUCAGAUCCCAUGUUGCUGUGGCUGCAGUGUAGGCCAGGAGCUGUAGCUUCAAUCAACCCCGAGCCUGGGAAUUUCCAUAUGCCAUGGGUGCAGCC